AGUGAACGCUGGCGGCAGGCCUAACACAUGCAAGUCGAACGAAGUCUUCGGACUUAGUGGCGGACGGGUGAGUAACACGUGGGAACGUACCAUUAGGUUCGGAAUAACUCAGGGAAACUUGUGCUAAUACCGAAUGUGCCCUUCGGGGGAAAGAUUUAUCGCCUUUAGAGCGGCCCGCGUCUGAUUAGUUAGUUGGUGAGGUAAAGGCUCACCAAGGCGACGAUCAGUAGCUGGUCUGAGAGGAUGAUCAGCCACAUUGGGACUGAGACAUGGCCCAAACCCCUACGGGAGGCAGCAGUGGGGAAUCUUGCGCAAUGGGCGAAAGCCUGACGCAGCCAUGCCGCGUGAAUGAUGAAGGUCUUAGGAUUGUAAAAUUCUUUCACCGGGGACGAUAAUGACGGUACCCGGAGAAGAAGCCCCGGCUAACUUCGUGCCAGCCGCCGCCGUAA
rnacentral:rRNA from 1 species